AAUACCCAAAAAAUUCAAUACCCAAAAACAUUCCCUAUUUAUACUUCCUUCACAGUGGGCCCUUAGGUGCUAUUCUCUCUUUGGUAUUGUACAUUUUCCUUUUGACCCCUUCUUUUUAUAUGUGUGCAGGAUUUAGGGUUACCGCUCGACUCGAAUUGCACCUUGUCCUCGAUGUGGAAAGAUGGAAACUGUUGUUUCAUUAAGUGUACCAGCUCCUACGUUGCCUCACUAUCCAACAGCCCCUUUCAUUUUACUAGCCAUUCGUUUGCUACAAUUUCUUCAUUUCAUCUAAUUCCCAACACGGACUCUGACUUCAGCUGUUGUAAGUUCAAACUCGUCGAUUAGCACUGUGAAAUGAUGCUACACCUGCUGGUUAUGUCCCAACUUAAGCUUCAGUUAUGAUACGUAGAAAAUAUCAUAAAUGCUAGCUUCUUGUGGCAAUUCCAAUCAAUAAGCAACUUCUCCAAACCUUUCUAUGAUUUGCAUCUGGUCGACACUAUUGUUAGUGGUCUACUUUUCCCUAUAGGAAAGUAUAAGGUGUGGGGGUCUACCGUAGACAGUUUGGUACAGAGUGGCCUUCACGGAAGCAUGAAAUACAGUGUUGCACCAAAGUUCAACCCAAGGAAUACAUUUAUUCCACUUUGUCAGUUGUUCAUUACAAAAACAUCUUAAAUACGUCUCAAGGCAUCUAUUCACUCUCUCGGUUUGCCCAUUCGUUUGUGGAUGGAAUGUUGUGCUUUUUAAUACUAUCCUAAUGGCCGUAAAGAGUUCUUUUUAGAAGUUAAUAAAAUCUUGUCUGUACUAGUAAUGAUUGAUUUUGGAAUGUCAUGUUUACUUACAAUCUUUUUUAUGAAUA